CUACUUGUAUAAUGUUUUAGUAUAUUCCACUUGUAUUGACAUUGUUUAAAUUUAUAAGUUCGUAGCUCGCACAUAUUCAGUGAUGGCACCAGGUGGGAGAGUACGUCGUUCGCGCACAGGAUCUACCCCUUCUACUCGUGAAGUGACGGAGCUAGCAUCGCCGUCACAUGUUGCAUCGCAGGCGUCUGAUCCCUCAGUCGCGCAUACACCGGGCACUGCAUCGUCGUCGACCAGCCGACGAGGACGUGGACCCAUGCAUGGGUUGCUUUUAGAGCGACUUACGCGUGAGGGUAGGGUGACGGUAGAGUUCCCACAGGGCUGCAUUAGACCUGUUGGGAAUAAUGCCAUGUUGUUUACGUCGGAGGUCGGUGUCUUAUGCCGAUCUCUGAUCCCCCCACCACUCCCCGUUGGGGGGACGUGACAGAUGAUGUGCGGCAGCUCAUCCGUCAGCGCCUUCAGGAUAAAUUUGACUUGAAUUUGAGUGUUCCGCACAUCUCUCAUGCCGUCGACGACAUGAUGAAGGAGCGGUUCAAGGAUUACCGCAGUAAGUUACAUCGGCAAUACAAGCGGUGCAUGAGCCAUGA